GGAGACACUCGGCCCGCUGGUGCGGCCCCCGGUCUUCAAAACCGGUGUGGGGUGCGUGAGCGCCCUGGGCAGGUUCGAUUCCUGUGUGUUUCCG
rnacentral:tRNA from 1 species